CCAUUCCGAACACGGAAGUUAAGCUCUUCAGCGCCGAUGGUACUGCAUGGGUGACUAUGUGGGAGAGUAGGUCGUUGCCGUUU
rnacentral:rRNA from 1 species